ACCUUCUCUCCUCUCUCUCUUCUUUCCUACGCUCUCUCCCACUCCCUUCACCAUUUUUGGUAAUAAUACAGCUCCCUUUUACCUUAUACAGUCUUGUCUUUCCAUUUCUAUGCAAAAGUUGUCCUCAUGUCUACUCACCCGCGUUGGUCCUGUCGUUGAAUGGCAGAAGGUUCAUUUUCUCGCUUCAAACACAACAAAUCCUUAAAGACCAGAGAAGAUCAGCCCAUUUCGGGUACAAAUCUGCUAUAAAUCACGUGAAUGGUCCCUAACGUUCAAAUAUUGUGACAGAGAUUCGGCUUUCUGUCAUGAUUUGGACUGACCUUGAAAUGGGUUUUGAAAUAAUCGGAGAUGGUGACCUAUCCUCACUCUAUAAAUGGGAUUUUUUUUUUGGGAGAAAAGGGAGGGGAUACUCUCUGUUUUUUUUAAGUCUUUGGUUCAAUUCAUAAAAAAAAAAAAAAGAACAUUGAUUGGGGGAAAACCGGAUUACUUACCACAUUCAACAUUUUCUAUUUUCGACUCCUACUCUAAAUCUUAGAUUUGUUCAAAUCCCGUUCUGUUUCGGGUUUAGUCACUACCUGCGUUUGAGAUUAUUCGAAAAUCAAGCCAAAUUGUUUUUUUAGAAAAGGAUAUACUGUUUCGGCUGAUAUCGAAAUUUUCAAUUCGAAAGACUUUUUUUCGAGUUCGAAUUCGUCGGGUUCGAGCAUAGAUUUGAGAUUCCCGCACUCAGUUCACUGCGCCCGAAGAAGAGUCCGAGGGACUCGUCUUCUUCCGCAUUCGGUGUUGGGCUAAAAGCCCAACAUAAUAUCCUCGGGUCAUCUUCCCUUAGUCCCAUCCUCAGCGGAAUCUAUUAAAUUUCGCUGGGCCGAAGUCCAUCAGCAGUGGACAACAGCAGUCCUAAAAUGGCUGAGCCCAUUUAAAUCAUAUUUACACUUCUAAUUUAUUUCUUGUGCCUUUAAUUUGUAUUGUGCAACUAGUACUUCACUUUGAUUUUUUGUUUUAGCUAGAAUAAACCUUAGCGGAAUUAGUGGGUUAGUUUAGUAUGAUGGGAGUUAGUUUAAAAGAGAAACUAACAAUUAUUCCUAUAGGUUUCAUCCUUUUUUAUGAUAAAUUAUUUAUAGCAUCUAAAAUA